rnacentral:rRNA from 1 species
GUAACAAGGUUUCCGUAGGUGAACCUGCGGAAGGAUCAUUAUUGAAAUAAAUCUGGCGAGUUGCUGCUGGUUCUCCAGGGAGCAUGUGCACACUUGUCAUCUUUAUAUCUCCACCUGUGCACCUUUUGUAGACCUGGAUCUCUCUCUGGAUGGGUUGCUAUUCAGGAUUGAGGAUUGACUUUAUGUCUCUCCUUCCAUUUCCAGGCCUAUGUUUCUUCAUAUACUCCAUUGUAUGUCAUAGAAUGUAAUCAAUGGCCUUUGUGCCUAUAAAUCUUAUACAACUUUCAGCAACGGAUCUCUUGGCUCUCGCAUCGAUGAAGAACGCAGCGAAAUGCGAUAAGUAAUGUGAAUUGCAGAAUUCAGUGAAUCAUCGAAUCUUUGAACGCACCUUGCGCUCCUUGGUAUUCCGAGGAGCAUGCCUGUUUGAGUGUCAUUAAUAUAUCAACUUCUUAAGCUUUUGCUUGUUGAGCGUUGGAUGUGGGGGUCUUUUUUUGCUGGUCUUUUUUUAGGUCAGCUCCCCUGAAAUGCAUUAGCGGAACAAUUUGCAGACCGUUCAUUGGUGUGAUAACUAUCUACGCUAUUGACGUGAAGCAGUUCAGCUUAUAAUAGUCCAUUGACUUGGACAAAUUUUCAUUAAUGUGACCUCAAAUCAGGUAGGACUACCCGCUGAACUUAAGCAUAUCA